GCACUANNUGGCGGAAUUGGUAGACGCGCACGUUUGAGGGGCGUGUACCGCAAGGUGUACGAGUUCAAGUCUCGUCCUUCGCACUA
rnacentral:tRNA from 1 species